GACGAACGCUGGCGGCGUGCUUAACACAUGCAAGUGGAGCGACGAACCAGGGCUUGCCCUGGGGCAGAGCCGCGAACGGGUGAGUAACACGUGGGUAACCCACCCCGAUGACCGGGACGAACCCGAGGAAACUCGGGCUAAUACCGGAUGUUCUCGUAUCUCAUAAGGGAUUCGAGCAAAGAUAGCUUCGGCCUUCGCAUCGGGACGGGGCCCGGCCGGCCACUUAGCUUGUUGGUGGGGUAACGGCCUACCAAGGCGACGAUGGGUAGCUGGUCUGAGAGGACGAUCAGCCACACUGGGGACUGAGACACGGCCCAGACUCCUACGGGAGGCAGCAGGUGGGGAAUCUUGCGCAAUGCGCGAAAGCGUGACGCAGCAACGCCGCGU
rnacentral:rRNA from 1 species